UACGGGAGGCAGCAGGGGGAAUAUUGCACAAUGGGCGAAAGCCUGAUGCAGCUAUGCCGCGUGUAUGAAGAAGGCCUUAGGGUUGUAAAGUACUUUCAUCGGGGAGGAAAAAACAAAACUAAUAAUUUUAUUUCUUGACGUUACCCGAAAAAGAAGCACCGGCUAACUCCGUGCCAGCAGCCGCGGUAAUACGGAGGGUGCUAGCGUUAAUCAGAAUUACUGGGCGUAAAGAGCACGUAGGUGGUUUUUUUAAAGUCAGAUGUGAAAUCCCUGGGCUUAACCUAGGAACUGCAUUUUGAAACUGAAAUACUAGAGUAUCGUAGAGGGAGGUAGAAUUCUAGGUGUAGCGGUGAAAUGCGUAGAUAUCUGGAGGAAUACCUGUGGCGAAAGCGGCCUCCUAAACGAAUACUGACACUGAGGUGCGAAAGCGUGGGGAGCAAACAGGGAUUAGAUACC
rnacentral:rRNA from 1 species